rnacentral:rRNA from 1 species
AUUGAACGCUGGCGGCAUGCCUUACACAUGCAAGUCGAACGGCAGCACGGGUGCUUGCACCUGGUGGCGAGUGGCGAACGGGUGAGUAAUACAUCGGAACGUACCUUGUCGUGGGGGAUAACGCAGCGAAAGCUGUGCUAAUACCGCAUACGCCCUGAGGGGGAAAGCGGGGGAUCGCAAGACCUCGCGCGAUUAGAGCGGCCGAUGCCUGAUUAGCUUGUUGGUGGGGUAAAAGCCCACCAAGGCGACGAUCAGUAGCUGGUCUGAGAGGACGAUCACCCACACUGGGACUGGGACACGGCCCACACCCCGACGGAAGGAAGCAGUGGGGAAUUUUGGAAAAGGGGGGAAACCCUGAUCCAGCAAUGCCGCGUGAGUGAAGAAGGCCUUCGGGUUGUAAAGCUCUUUUGUCAGGGAAGAAACACCGGCUCUAACACAGUCCGGGAAUGACGGUACCUGAAGAAUAAGCACCGGCUAACUACGUGCCAGCAGCCGCCGUAA